GAUCCUCUGCAAGAGCAGCUGAGCCAUCUCUCCAUACCUUGUUAUUGAGAUUUGAUUAUGACAACAAAUAUGUUUUGGUUAUUCUGAACACUUGUGUGGUAUUUAUUUGGAAGCACAGCAUGUUCUCAUGACAGUGAAAAUACAUUGCUUUUUAUGCAAAACAAAUUUAAACGGUGGUCUACAAAUAGCCUGGUACAGAACAUUGACUGUACUCAGUUGUUUGGGAAGAGACAAGGCUUAGAAUGUCUUUAGGAGUGGCCUGUGAUGAUUUUUCAAAUGAAUUUUAGAUAGACUUGAUGGUUGUCAUUCCUAGCACCCAAAGUUACUUUGAUGAUGUCAUUCUGCUUUAGCAGAGAUUGUAAAAUAAUAUUUAACAUUUUCCUUGACAUUAGUGAACUUGAGAUAUGUGUACUUUGUGCUAGAGAUUGAACAUUAGGAAGUUCUCCGAGCUGGAGCAAUGGCUAGUGUUUAAGAGUAUGCAUCACGCUUGCAGGGGACGCACUCAUAGUGUGGCUCACAGCUCUUUGCAACUCCAGUUCUAGGAUAUCGGACACCUUUGGGUCUCUGUAGGCACCAGACAUGUAUGUAGGCAAAAUAUUCGUAAAGUAAAAAAUAAAUGCACCUUUUUAAAAACGG
rnacentral:lncRNA from 1 species